CCAAGCCAUUCUGUGACUCUAUGAUUCUAUGAUUCUAUGAUUUCACCUGUCAGGGUUCCCUGACUAAUUCUAUACUAAAAUUUGUUAUUCCGUCAGUAUUUUCUUACAGAUUAUGAUUUCCAGAUCAUUAAUGGCUCCAUGUUUUCGUCUUGGCAUUCUAUAAUCCAACUUCAGUAUUCAUAACUGAGCAGAAUACUUCAUUUGGUGGUUGGACUAGACAUUAUUUGUUGUCUUUUCAAACCCUAAUGAUUCUAUGAGUCUAUGAAAUAUUAUCACUAGUGAUGCAGUGAAAGGGUUAAGUCAUGUAUACUACAUAUGAGAAUAUAUUUCACUCUACUAUUCAUUUAGUGAUCCACCAACACUCCAAAACUUUUCCUGGAUCCCGGUUACCUAAGCCAUCUUUUCUGUAACCUGUUUUUAUUUGUUUUUUUGUAAUUAUGUCCUCUAAUUGUUAUUAUAUUGUUCUUAUUAAAUCACAUUAAGGAUUUUUUUUUCUUUGUCGUCUCCAAACAAUUUUUCCCUUUGAAAUUUUAAUCCUGCCUUUCAAUGUUUUUGCAGCUUAAUAUCAUGUGUACUUAACAAACAAACACAGUCUGUAUUCCUUCAAGCAGACAUGAAAGAGUAUUAAGCCAAAGACAAACUGCUUGGGUACACCACCUGAUGCAUCAUUCCCUUUUAAAGGUAAACCACUGAUAUCUAUUCUUUGAAUAUGACUUUGCAGAUACCUCUAUACCUGAGCUACAAGCCCUUCCUAAGCUUCCUUCUGAGAACACCGUAUCAAGCAAAAUGAAAGCUGGACUAGAAUCAAGAUAUAGAUUAUCUGUUGCUUUUUCCCUUUUUGUAAAGCCUUUUACCCUGACAGGGAAAGAAAUUCAAUUUAUUUGACAUGAUUAAUUCUUGAGAAAGUCAUGUUGACUGCAAUUUGUCUCCCUGUUCUCAUCUAAGUAUUUACAAACUGUUUAUUUAUGAUGGUACUUUCCUGUGACUUAAAGUUCCCUCAUUUCUCCUUUUCUCCUACUUCAAAGAUGGUCACUACAUUUUUCUUUUUUUCUAUUCAGUCUUACACACCUUGUUCAUUCUCUAUCAGAUCUCAGAGUGGCUCUCCUGAAGACGACAGUUUUCUAAGUACUGAAAGUGAGGUUCUCAUUGUGUCCAUAACCUUUGAAAGCAUCUGUGUUUCAAGAAAUAUUAAAUUUACUCUAGUU
rnacentral:lncRNA from 1 species